AGGACGAACGCUGGCGGCGUGCUUAACACAUGCAAGUCGAGCGGAAAGGCCCUUCGGGGUACUCGAGCGGCGAACGGGUGAGUAACACGUGAGUAACCUGCCCUGGACUUUGGGAUAACCCUCGGAAACGGGGGCUAAUACCGGAUACGACUUUUCCUCGCAUGGGGGAUUGGUGGAAAGUUUUUCGGUCUGGGAUGGGCUCGCGGCCUAUCAGCUUGUUGGUGGGGUGAUGGCCUACCAAGGCGACGACGGGUAGCCGGCCUGAGAGGGCGACCGGCCACACUGGGACUGAGACACGGCCCAGACUCCUACGGGAGGCAGCAGUGGGGAAUAUUGCGCAAUGGGCGAAAGCCUGACGCAGCGACGCCGCGUGGGGGAUGAAGGCCUUCGGGUUGUAAACCCCUUUCAGCAGGGACGAAGCGAAAGUGACGGUACCUGCAGAAGAAGCGCCGGCUAACUACGCGCCAGCAGCCGC
rnacentral:rRNA from 1 species